GCGCUUAACACAUGCAAGUCGCACGAGAAAGUGGAGCAAUCCAUGAGUACAGUGGCGUACGGGUGAGUAACACGUGGAUCAUCUACCUCUUAGUGGGGAAUAACCCUGGGAAACCGGGGCUAAUACCGCAUAAGCUCGAGAGAGGAAAGCAGCAAUGCGCUGAGAGAGGAGUCCGCGGCCGAUUAGCUAGUUGGCAGGGUAAAUGCCUACCAAGGCAAAGAUCGGUAGCCGGCCUGAGAGGGCACACGGCCACACUGGCACUGAAACACGGGCCAG
rnacentral:rRNA from 1 species